rnacentral:rRNA from 1 species
AUGCAGUCGAGCGAGACCUUCGGGUCUAGCGGCGGACGGGUUAGUAACGCGUGGGAACGUGCCCUUCUCUGCGGAAUAGCCACUGGAAACGGUGAGUAAUACCGCAUACGCCCUUCGGGGGAAAGAUUUAUCGGAGAAGGAUCGGCCCGCGUUAGAUUAGAUAGUUGGUGGGGUAAUGGCCUACCAAGUCUACGAUCUAUAGCUGGUUUUAGAGGAUGAUCAGCAACACUGGGACUGAGACACGGCCCAGACUCCUACGGGAGGCAGCAGUGGGGAAUCUUAGACAAUGGGCGCAAGCCUGAUCUAGCCAUGCCGCGUGUGUGAUGAAGGUCUUAGGAUCGUAAAGCACUUUCGCCAGGGAUGAUAAUGACAGUACCUGGUAAAGAAACCCCGGCUAACUCCGUGCCAGCAGCCGCGGUAAUACGGAGGGGGUUAGCGUUGUUCGGAAUUACUGGGCGUAAAGCGUACGUAGGCGGAUCAGAAAGUUGGGGGUGAAAUCCCGGGGCUCAACCCCGGAACUGCCUCCAAAACUCCUGGUCUUGAGUUCGAGAGAGGUGAGUGGAAUUCCAAGUGUAGAGGUGAAAUUCGUAGAUAUUUGGAGGAACACCAGUGGCGAAGGCGGCUCACUGGCUCGAUACUGACGCUGAGGUACGAAAGUGUGGGGAGCAAACAGGAUUAGAUACCCUGGUAGUCCACACCGUAAACGAUGAAUGCCAGUCGUCGGGCAGUAUACUGUUCGGUGACACACC